rnacentral:rRNA from 1 species
GAGUUUUGAUCAUGGCUCAGGAUGAACGCUAGCUACAGGCUUAACACAUGCAAGUCGAGGGGAAACGACAUCGAAAGCUUGCUUUUGAUGGGCGUCGACCGGCGCACGGGUGAGUAACGCGUAUGCAACUUACCUAUCAGAGGGGGAUAGCCCGGCGAAAGUCGGAUUAAUACCCCAUAAAACAGGGGUCCCGCAUGGGAAUAUUUGUUAAAGAUUCAUCGCUGAUAGAUAGGCAUGCGUUUCAUUAGGCAGUUGGCGGGGUAACGGCCCACCAAACCGACGAUGGAUAGGGGUUCUGAGAGGAAGGUCCCCCACAUUGGUACUGAGACACGGACCAAACUCCUACGGGAGGCAGCA